rnacentral:tRNA from 1 species
GCAGGCUUGGAAUGAUCGGUGUUCAUGGCUGUCUCGCGUGCACCUUGCCGUUUCACGUUCGGCGUCGUGGGGCCGGCC